rnacentral:ncRNA from 1 species
CUAGCUGUGAAGCUAGGAAUGAAGGUUAUUGCGAUUGAAUAAUGAGCAAUACUAAGCAAAUUUCGGUACUGAGGAACACGAACCAUAUACCGAGGCUAUGAGGUCGGAUGAGUAGGCACAUAACUGAUAAGUCCAAAGUAUCUUAUGUAGAGAAGCACCAAAGUAGUAGAUAUGGUAGGAAUCAAAAGAAAGAAGAUGUU